UGAGGAAUAUUGGUCAAUGGACGAGAGUCUGAACCAGCCAAAUCGCGUGAAGGAAGACUGCCCUACGGGUUGUAAACUUCUUUUGUACAGGAAUAAAAGACAUUACGUGUAAUGUAUUGCAUGUACUGUACGAAUAAGCAUCGGCUAACUCCGUGCCAGCAGCCGCGGUAAUACGGAGGAUGCGAGCGUUAUCCGGAUUUAUUGGGUUUAAAGGGUGCGCAGGCGGGAUUUUAAGUCAGCGGUGAAAUUUUCAGGCUCAACCUGAACACGGCCGUUGAAACUGGGAUUCUUGAGUAUGGAUGAAGUAGGCGGAAUUCGUUGUGUAGCGGUGACAUGCUUAGAUAUAACGAGGAACUCCGAUUGCGUAGGCAGCUUACUAAGCCAUAACUGACGCUCAAGCACGAAAGCGUGGGGAUCAAACA
rnacentral:rRNA from 1 species